rnacentral:rRNA from 1 species
AUACGGGGGAUUCAAGCGUUAUCCGGACUUAUUGGGUUUAAAGGGUGCGUAGGCUGAUAAAUCAGUCAGCGGUGAAAUUUACGGGCUUAACUUGUAGCUUGCCGUUGAAACUAUUUAUCUAGAGAUAUUUCGGCGUAUGCGGAAUGUAUCAAGUAGCGGUGAAAUGCAUAGAUAUGCUACAGAACACCAAUCGCGAAGGCAGCAUACGAGGCAUCAUCUGACGCUGAUGCACGAAAGCGUGGGGAUCAAACAGGAUUAGAUACCCUGGUGGUCCACGCCGUAAACGAUGAAUACUAGGUGUAGGGGGUAUCGACUCCCUCUGUGCCGCAGUUAACACAAUAAGUAUUCCGCCUGGGGAGUACGGCCGCAAGGUUGAAACUCAAAGGAAUUGGCGGGG